rnacentral:rRNA from 1 species
CUGGGUAGCUAAGUCCGGUACGGAUAAGUGCUGAAAGCAUCUAAGCACGAAGCCGGCUCCGAGAUUAGAUCUCCGCAGAGGGUCGUCAGAGACGAUGACGUUGAUAGGCGGCAGGUGCAAGGUCAGCGAUGGCCUCAGCCGAGCCGUACUAAUUGCCCGAUAGCUUCUUUCAC